rnacentral:rRNA from 1 species
AGUUUGAUCUGGCUCAGAUUGAACGCUGGCGGCAGGCUUAACACAUGCAAGUCGAGCGGAGAGAGGUAGCUUGCUACUGAUCUUAGCGGCGGACGGGUGAGUAAUGCUUAGGAAUCUGCCUAUUAGUGGGGGACAACAUUUCGAAAGGAAUGCUAAUACCGCAUACGUCCUACGGGAGAAAGCAGGGGAUCUUCGGACCUUGCGCUAAUAGAUGAGCCUAAGUCGGAUUAGCUAGUUGGUGGGGUAAAGGCCUACCAAGGCGACGAUCUGUAGCGGGUCUGAGAGGAUGAUCCGCCACACUGGGACUGAGACACGGCCCAGACUCCUACGGGAGGCAGCAGUGGGGAAUAUUGGACAAUGGGCGCAAGCCUGAUCCAUGCCAUGCCGCGUGUGUGAAGAAGGCCUUAUGGUUGUAAAGCACCUUAAUGCGAGGAGGAGGCUACUUUAGUUAAUACCUAGAGAUAGUGGACGUUACUCGCAGAAUAAGCACCGGCUAACUCUGUGCCAGCAGCCGCGGUAAUACAGAGGGUGCAAGCGUUAAUCGGAUUUACUGGGCGUAAAGCGCGCGUAGGCGGCUAAUUAAGUCAAAUGUGAAAUCCCCGAGCUUAACUUGGGAAUUGCAUUCGAUACUGGUUAGCUAGAGUGUGGGAGAGGAUGGUAGAAUUCCAGGUGUAGCGGUGAAAUGCGUAGAGAUCUGGAGGAAUACCGAUGGCGAAGGCAGCCAUCUGGCCUAACACUGACGCUGAGGUGCGAAAGCAUGGGGAGCAAACAGGAUUAGAUACCCUGGUAGUCCAUGCCGUAAACGAUGUCUACUAGCCGUUGGGGCCUUUGAGGCUUUAGUGGCGCAGCUAACGCGAUAAGUAGACCGCCUGGGGAGUACGGUCGCAAGACUAAAACUCAAAUGAAUUGACGGGGGCCCGCACAAGCGGUGGAGCAUGUGGUUUAAUUCGAUGCAACGCGAAGAACCUUACCUGGCCUUGACAUAGUAAGAACUUUCCAGAGAUGGAUUGGUGCCUUCGGGAACUUACAUACAGGUGCUGCAUGGCUGUCGUCAGCUCGUGUCGUGAGAUGUUGGGUUAAGUCCCGCAACGAGCGCAACCCUUUUCCUUAUUUGCCAGCGAGUAAUGUCGGGAACUUUAAGGAUACUGCCAGUGACAAACUGGAGGAAGGCGGGGNCGACGUCAAGUCAUCAUGGCCCUUNCGGCCAGGGCUACACACGUGCUACAAUGGUCGGUACAAAGGGUUGCUACCUAGCGAUAGGAUGCUAAUCUCAAAAAGCCGAUCGUAGUCCGGAUUUGGAGUCUGCAACUCGACUCCAUGAAGUCGGAAUCGCUAGAAUCGCGGUCAGAAUGCCGCGG